rnacentral:rRNA from 1 species
UACGUAGGGGGCAAGCGUUGUCCGGAUUUAUUGGGCGUAAAGAGCGUGUAGGCGGCUAGGUAGGUCCGUUGUGAAAACUCGAGGCUCAACCUCGAGACGUCGAUGGAAACCAUCUAGCUAGAGUCCGGAAGAGGAGAGUGGAAUUCCUGGUGUAGCGGUGAAAUGCGCAGAUAUCAGGAAGAACACCCGUGGCGAAGGCGGCUCUCUGGUACGUGACUGACGCUGAGACGCGAAAGUGUGGGGAGCGAACAGG